rnacentral:rRNA from 1 species
UACGAAGGGGGCUAGCGUUGUUCGGAAUUACUGGGCGUAAAGAGCUCGUAGGUGGUUUGUCGCGUUGUUCGUGAAAACUCACAGCUUAACUGUGGGCGUGCGGGCGAUACGGGCAGACUGGAGUACUGCAGGGGAGACUGGAAUUCCUAGUGUAGCGGUGGAAUGCGCAGAUAUCAGGAGGAACACCGGUGGCGAAGGCGGGUCUCUGGGCAGUAACUGACGCUGAGGAGCGAAAGCGUGGGGAGCGAACAGG